rnacentral:lncRNA from 1 species
CGCGGAACACCUCGCGUGACCAGCAAGCCGAGUCCAGCUCCUCCGUGCUAGCACUCGGGAAAUUCCUGUUUUCUGUGAAGUGUUGGUGGCGAGCGACGAGCUCCACGGAAAGAAAAAAAGCGUCUCCACCCUUCCUGUGAAGGAACUUUUAGAACGAGGGGAAACGAAGAAAAGCAUGUGGGCCUGAAACGAGAAAUUCCCUCGCGUGUACUGCUUGUUUUGGAUUUGUCCAGACAAGGGAAACUCCACCUCGAGGGUUGUCUGGGCUUCGCGCAACGGCACGAAUGCGUCGGAAAAGACGUGGAGUGCUGUGUUUUCAGCUAUGGAGACUCCGGGAAAAUCGUGCUUUUUAGGCGAAAGCUUUGCACUAAAAAUGAAACGACUUCUCCUCACAGGAGAAUCUGCGUCACCCAUUCUCCACUUCUGCAUCACCGGUGUCAAUCAGCCCCCUCGAGGGAAAACACCUGGAAUCCAGAGUGAGUCUGGUGUGGAUGCUCGCAUUUCACGAUGCCUUCGCUAGGCUCGUGACCAUUCGGAUCCACAGAUUUACUUACCAUCCGAUUCGAAAAGGAAUCAACGCGCACAAAGGCGCUUGUACACCGGCAUACAUUAAGCCACAGUAGGAAUGUAGAUACGUCCACAGCACAUGUCGGGAAACAUCUAUAUGGGGAAACCAACUCUUCUGGACCUUUGUUGCUCAGGUACAUUCUGUCUGUAACUCCCCUAACGCAAAUUCGUUCGUGUCGAGAGCCGAUUUUUCGUCGCUUCAGGGCCAGCAACAGUUCUUCA